UUUUCUUCGGAGCCGUCCACAAACAUUAUCACCGCGGUUUUUACAUAGUCACCAAAAAGAAGAAGAAACCAACUUAUCUUUAAUCUCUUAAAAUAUCCUUUUUAUUCAGGACGAGAGUUUAUUAAUUUGCAAUGAUGGAGCAAACCAAGAAGCUCAAAACUUCUUCUGAGUUCUCCUUAUCUGAUGAAUCCUCAUUCUUCUUUCUGUAUCAGGCCUGAGAAAAUGAUAGAAGUGAAGAAAGAAUCAGUUUCUUGCCGGAAUAUUCAAAAGGUCAUGAGAAGAUGAGAAGAUGCGUAGAGAUAACCUCAACGAACGGUUUCUUGAGAUCGGAAAUGUAUUUGGUAUAUGUUUAUAUUAGAAAAAGAACAGAGUUUUUUUCAGUUUUA